GUGGCUGUAGCUCAGUUGGUUAGAGCAUUCCCCUGUGAAGGGAAGGGUCGAGGGUUCGAGUCCCUUCAGCCACC
rnacentral:tRNA from 1 species